GGGUUGUGAGGUUAAGCGACUAAGCGUACACGGUGGAUGCCCUGGCAGUCAGAGGCGAUGAAGGGCGUGCUAAUCUGCGAUAAGCGCCGGUAAGGUGAUAUGAACCGUUAUAACCGGCGAUACCCGAAUGGGGAAACCCAGUGUGAUUCGUCACACUAUCAUUAACUGAAUCCAUAGGUUAAUGAGGCGAACCGGGGGAACUGAAACAUCUAAGUACCCCGAGGAAAAGAAAUCAACCGAGAUUCCCCCAGUAGCGGCGAGCGAACGGGGAGGAGCCCAGAGCCUGAAUCAGCAUGUGUGUUAGUGGAAGCGUCUGGAAAGGCGCGCGAUACAGGGUGACAGCCCCGUACACAAAAGCGCAUGUGCUGUGAGCUCGAUGAGUAGGGCGGGACACGUGGUAUCCUGUCUGAAUAUGGGGGGACCAUCCUCCAAGGCUAAAUACUCCUGACUGACCGAUAGUGAACCAGUACCGUGAGGGAAAGGCGAAAAGAACCCCGGCGAGGGGAGUGAAAAAGAACCUGAAACCGUGUACGUACAAGCAGUGGGAGCACCCUUUGGGUGUGACUGCGUACCUUUUGUAUAAUGGGUCAGCGACUUAUAUUCUGUAGCAAGGUUAACCGAAUAGGGGAGCCGGAGGGAAACCGAGUCUUAACCGGGCGUUAAGUUGCAGGGUAUAGACCCGAAACCCGGUGAUCUAGCCAUGGGCAGGUUGAAGGUUGGGUAACACUAACUGGAGGACCGAACCGACUAAUGUUGAAAAAUUAGCGGAUGACCUGUGGCUGGGGGUGAAAGGCCAAUCAAACCGGGAGAUAGCUGGUUCUCCCCGAAAGCUAUUUAGGUAGCGCCUCGUGAAUUCAUCUCCGGGGGUAGAGCACUGUUUCGGCUAGGGGGCCAUCCCGGCUUACCAACCCGAUGCAAACUGCGAAUACCGGAGAAUGUUAUCACGGGAGACACACGGCGGGUGCUAACGUCCGUCGUGAAGAGGGAAACAACCCAGACCGCCAGCUAAGGUCCCAAAGUCAUGGUUAAGUGGGAAACGAUGUGGGAAGGCCCAGACAGCCAGGAUGUUGGCUUAGAAGCAGCCAUCAUUUAAAGAAAGCGUAAUAGCUCACUGGUCGAGUCGGCCUGCGCGGAAGAUGUAACGGGGCUAAACCAUGCACCGAAGCUGCGGCAGCGACACUGUGUGUUGUUGGGUAGGGGAGCGUUCUGUAAGCCUGUGAAGGUGUGUCGUGAGGCAUGCUGGAGGUAUCAGAAGUGCGAAUGCUGACAUAAGUAACGAUAAAGCGGGUGAAAAGCCCGCUCGCCGGAAGACCAAGGGUUCCUGUCCAACGUUAAUCGGGGCAGGGUGAGUCGACCCCUAAGGCGAGGCCGAAAGGCGUAGUCGAUGGGAAACGGGUUAAUAUUCCCGUACUUGGUGUUACUGCGAAGGGGGGACGGAGAAGGCUAUGUUGGCCGGGCGACGGUUGUCCCGGUUUAAGCGUGUAGGUGUGUGUUCCAGGUAAAUCCGGUUCACUUUAACACUGAGGCGUGACGACGAGGCACUACGGUGCUGAAGCAACAAAUGCCCUGCUUCCAGGAAAAGCCUCUAAGCAUCAGGUAACAUCAAAUCGUACCCCAAACCGACACAGGUGGUCAGGUAGAGAAUACCAAGGCGCUUGAGAGAACUCGGGUGAAGGAACUAGGCAAAAUGGUGCCGUAACUUCGGGAGAAGGCACGCUGACACGUAGGUGAAGUGAUUUACUCAUGGAGCUGAAGUCAGUCGAAGAUACCAGCUGGCUGCAACUGUUUAUUAAAAACACAGCACUGUGCAAACACGAAAGUGGACGUAUACGGUGUGACGCCUGCCCGGUGCCGGAAGGUUAAUUGAUGGGGUCAGCGCAAGCGAAGCUCCUGAUCGAAGCCCCGGUAAACGGCGGCCGUAACUAUAACGGUCCUAAGGUAGCGAAAUUCCUUGUCGGGUAAGUUCCGACCUGCACGAAUGGCGUAAUGAUGGCCAGGCUGUCUCCACCCGAGACUCAGUGAAAUUGAACUCGCUGUGAAGAUGCAGUGUACCCGCGGCAAGACGGAAAGACCCCGUGAACCUUUACUAUAGCUUGACACUGAACAUUGAGCCUUGAUGUGUAGGAUAGGUGGGAGGCUUUGAAGUGUGGACGCCAGUCUGCAUGGAGCCGACCUUGAAAUACCACCCUUUAAUGUUUGAUGUUCUAACGUGGACCCGUUACCCGGGUUGCGGACAGUGUCUGGUGGGUAGUUUGACUGGGGCGGUCUCCUCCUAAAGAGUAACGGAGGAGCACGAAGGUUGGCUAAUCCUGGUCGGACAUCAGGAGGUUAGUGCAAUGGCAUAAGCCAGCUUGACUGCGAGCGUGACGGCGCGAGCAGGUGCGAAAGCAGGUCAUAGUGAUCCGGUGGUUCUGAAUGGAAGGGCCAUCGCUCAACGGAUAAAAGGUACUCCGGGGAUAACAGGCUGAUACCGCCCAAGAGUUCAUAUCGACGGCGGUGUUUGGCACCUCGAUGUCGGCUCAUCACAUCCUGGGGCUGAAGUAGGUCCCAAGGGUAUGGCUGUUCGCCAUUUAAAGUGGUACGCGAGCUGGGUUUAGAACGUCGUGAGACAGUUCGGUCCCUAUCUGCCGUGGGCGCUGGAGAACUGAGGGGGGCUGCUCCUAGUACGAGAGGACCGGAGUGGACGCAUCACUGGUGUUCGGGUUGUCAUGCCAAUGGCACUGCCCGGUAGCUAAAUGCGGAAGAGAUAAGUGCUGAAAGCAUCUAAGCACGAAACUUGCCCCGAGAUGAGUUCUCCCUGAGACUUAAAGUCUCCUGAAGGAACGUUGAAGACGACGACGUUGAUAGGC
rnacentral:rRNA from 1 species